ACUCCCCCUCCUAACCCCUCCCUUACCCCAUAGGUCAAGAUCUCGGUCACCCUCGGAGUCUCGUCACUGGAAACUUCCCGAGGAGCUGCGUCGGCGCCUCACACUCCACCUCCAAGCUGACCCAGGACUGUCCCGAGCUGAGCUGCACGACAUAACCUAUGCUAGGAUCGAACCCGCCCGCAACCUCAAGAUCAACAAUUCCAUCGAUUGCAAGGCCAGUCCUCCCAUUGAUGGUGAGAGCCCCUGCCCCCUCUCCCUGGGCCCCCACACCAGUGCCACGCUGCCCAGGCCCCCUAAGACCUGGCGGCCGUCAAGUUUUCCCUCCUGAGCUGCCGGUGUUGGUGGUGCCCAGGCUGGAACACUCCCCGCCCAGGGCUACGCCAACCUGAGGAGGCACAGCAAGACUUCUCCUGGCUUAUAAGAGGGACCAUUAAGAAACAUGAUCCCCGCUGCUGCCACCACCACCGGGUUAACAUGUGCCGGCGACGAUCUGUUCACACGUCACUUGCCGCAGCGUUGAGGCGGGAUGCAGCGUGCUCUGAGGCGACCCCGGGCAGGAGGCAAGAUGUGACCUCCUGCACCAAACCUUUGACCUCUAUUCAGGAGCAAUCUCACAACUGAUGGAAGCUGGGACGGAAAGUUGCUGAAAUGUGGUAAGCUACAAUUUCCUCUUUCAACCAUGAUUUCUAUCAGUCUACCACAAUCUACCAGGGUCUAACCACCACACAAUCAUUCGCCCAACAUCCCUCUACCAGUCUACCACAAUUCAACCAUCAGUCAUCAACCGAAAAACUCGACUUGUUCAAAACUUUUUCAACUCUGUAACCCCAAAAUGUCAACCCAAGACCUGACAUUCAACCACGAUUUCUACCACUCCACCACAAUCUACUGGGACCUAACCACCAUAUAUCUUUUCAGGGCAAUGGCUGACUGGAUGGUGCUGUCUGGUCACUCAGCUCAGCAAGGGACUGGAAGCUGGAACACUCUCUCUCUCUCUCUCUCUCAAAAAAAUAAUGACUCGUCUCAUCUGGUCUGCCCCAGCAUUUAGGCAGCAUCUUGAAGGCCUGACUGGUCUCCUCAGCUCAGUGGUCUCGUCUCUGUCUCCUGCCCUGCAAGAGUCUGGCAGAGUUUAGUGCCAAGAGUGUGUGUGUGUGUGUGUGUGUGUGUGUGUGUGUGUGUGUGUGUCUCUCUCUCUCUCUCUCUCUCUCUCUCUCUCUCUCUCUCUCUCUCUCUCUCUCUCUCUCUCUCAGCUCCCAGGCCCCACAGGGUGUCCCCCCUACAGUGUGUUGACAACCCCCACAGACACAUGCCCCCCCAGACACAUAAGGGAUCCCCCCCCUCUCUCUCUCUCUCCAAGAAGUGUCAGUUUGCUCAAUAAAUAUACAAGCAAUUUCUGGUGUUUUUUCGUCCAUUCUGCAAAGUUUUCAAAGAGACAGAUCUUGAAAUAAGUGGAGAUAACAAGGAAAUGAAGAGGAAGGAGGAAAGGAGGAAGAGAGGAAGGAAAAGGGAGAGAAAUGGAGUUGAACUUGGAGGAGGAAGUGAACAAAACCACUAAAGUUACACUGGAGAAAUACACAGACCUUAAUAAAAGUGGAGAUAGAAGAGGAAUGAAAAGGAGGAGGAGGAAAAGGAAGACAGGAGGAGGAAGAGGAAAGGUUAAGCUAUUUUUUUGUAUAGGAGGAAAGGAGGAAGAGGUGGAGGAAAGAGGAGAAAAAUGGACUUGAACUUGGAGGAGAAAAUUAACAAAA